rnacentral:rRNA from 1 species
UACGGAGGGUGCGAGCGUUGUCCGGAAUCACUGGGCGUAAAGGGCGCGUAGGCGGCGCGGAUAGUCGGCGGUGAAAGCCCGGAGCUCAACUCCGGGUCGGCCGUCGAUACUUCCGGGCUUGAGCACUGUAGAGGCAGAUGGAAUUCCGGGUGUAGCGGUGGAAUGCGUAGAGAUCCGGAAGAACACCGGUGGCGAAGGCGGUCUGCUGGGCAGUUGCUGACGCUGAUGCGGGACAGCGUGGGGAGAAAACAGG